rnacentral:rRNA from 1 species
UACGGAGGGUGCAAGCGUUGUUCGGAAUUACUGGGCGUAAAGAGCGCGUAGGCGGCUAUUUAUGUCAGGUGUGAAAACCCUCGGCCUAACCGAGGAAGUGCGCCUGAAACUGAAUGGCUUGAGUACGAGAGAGGAGAACGGAAUUCCUAGUGUAGAGGUGGAAUUCGUAGAUAUUAGGAAGAACACCGGUGGCGAAAGCGGUUCUCUAGAUCGAUACUGACGCUGAGGCGCGAAAGCGUGGGGAGCAAACAGG